rnacentral:tRNA from 1 species
AGGGUUGUGGCUCAGCGGUAGAGCACUUGCCUAGCAUGCGAGCGCCCUGGGUUUGAUCCUCAGCACCACAU